GGGUUAACGCCUCAGGGCACAAUCCCCACCCUUUGUAACCGCGGCCCGGAUUCGGCGCCUGGCGGGGNACCGCCCCCCGUUCGCGGGGGGUCCCCGCCUGCCGGGAAUUAGCCAACCCUGCCCUAGAAAACUGAGGUCCGANAACAAGUUAAAUUGAACAAAACUUUCAACAACGGAUCUCUUGGUUCUGGCAACGAUGAAGAACGCAGCGAAAUGCGAAUAAGUAGUGUGAAUUGCAGAAUUCAGUGAAAUCAUCGAAUCUUUGAACGCACAUUGCGCCCCCCUGGGUAUUCCCGGGGGGGCACACCUGUUCGAGCGCCAUUUCUACCCUGGAGCCCUGCUCUGUGAUGGGACCCCCGUCCCUCGCGGACGGGCCCGAAACCCCGUGGGCGCCGGUCGUCCCGGCCCCCGAGCGUAGCAAGAGAAAUCCCUCGCUCGGAAGAGUCUGGGCGGUGGCCGCCCCGACCCCAUUUUUUACAAGGUUGGCCUCGGGAUCAGGUGGGGGAUACCCGCUGAACUUAAGCAUAUCAAUAAGCGGAGGAAAAGAAAACAACAGGGAUUGCCUCAGUAACGGCGAGUGAAGCGGCAACAGCUCAAAUUUGAAAUCUGGCUCACGCCCGAGUUGUAAUUUGUAGAGGAUGUUUCGGGUGAAGCCGCGGUCCAAGUCCCUUGGAACAGGACGUCAUAGAGGGUGAGAACCCCGUACCUGGCCGCCGGUGCCCCCCGCUGUGAAACUCCUUCGACGAGUCGAGUUGUUUGGGAAUACAGCUCUAAAUUGGUGGUAAAUUCCAUCUAAAGCUAAAUACCGGCCAGAGACCGAUAGCGCACAAGUAGAGUGAUCGAAAGAUGAAAAGCACUUUGAAAAGAGAGUUAAAAAGUACGUGAAAUUGUUGAAAGGGAAGCGCUUGCGGCCAGACUUGCCCGCGGUUGCUCAGCCCGCCUUUUGGCGGGUGCACUCUUCCGCGGUCAGGCCAGCAUCGGUUUGGGCGGUCGGAUAAAGGCGCUGGGAACGUGGCCUCCCCUCGGGGAGGUGUUAUAGCCCGGCGCGCAAUGCGGCCAGCCCGGACCGAGGUUCGCGCUUUGCUAGGAUGCUGGCGUAAUGGCCGUAAGCGGCC
rnacentral:rRNA from 1 species